AUGGUGGAGGAACCGUCCGCCAAGCGUCAUCAUGCCGAGACGUCGGACAAGAGGAGCAACCUCGUCGACAUUAACGUCCCCGGCGAGAGGCGCGAGUACACAACAACCCUCAAAGGGGUUGAGCUCCACGACAACGAGACGCUAGAGAUCGUCUGCACCAGCGUACCAGAAAAGGCCGACGAGGUUGUCUCCAGGCUCUGGAUGAAGCUUGGCAGCAGGUUUCGUAGGAUCGUCGGUGUUGGUGUGCACUACACCAACGAAGAUAAACCUCCCCAGAUGGCAGCAGUCCUGCAGUUGUGCGACGACGAACUCUGCUUGGUGUACCACAUCGCAGCGGCCACAAAAUGGUGA
rnacentral:rRNA from 1 species